rnacentral:lncRNA from 1 species
UUUUGGGGUUUAUGGUCCCUAAGUUUUAGAAAUUAGGGGCCCAAAGGGGCCCAAAACAAGCAUUUAUCUAAUGUCAGUACAAAUAGUUGUGUAUAAGUAUUUCAAUUGUUCUGAAAUUGUACCACAAUGUUUAAUACCAUAAGUAGAAGGUUGGGAUAUAUUUUGUGGGUUAUGGGGCAAACAGUCAAGGAAUAAAGGCCAAAAAAGGGGCCAAAAACAAGCAUUUUUGUAGUUUCAAGACAAUAAAUUGAUGUUAUCUUUCUUUGUCCAGAAUGGUUGUUGAAUCACCUAAAACCAAUGCUUUAUGAAAUCUUCUUUGAAAAUUGGAGUUAUCUUUCUUUGUCCAGAAUAGUAGUUGAAUCAACUUAAAUCAAUGCUAUAUACAAUAUACAAUGCAAUAUUCACUUUACUACCAACUGAUAAAUUAAAGCAGUCUUUACCAUUCAGUGAUUACAAGCAC